rnacentral:rRNA from 1 species
GAUGAACGCUGGCGGCGUGCUUAACACAUGCAAGUCGAGCGAACGGACGAGAAUCUUGCUUCUCUGAUGUUAGCGGCGGACGGGUGAGUAACACGUGGAUAACCUACCUAUAAGACUGGGAUAACUUCGGGAAACCGGAGCUAAUACCGUAUAAUAUUUUGAACCGCAUGGUUCAAAAGUGAAAGACGGUCUUGCUGUCUCUUAUAGAUGGAUCCGCGCUGCAUUAGCUAGUUGGUAAGGUAACGGCUUACCAAGGCAACGAUGCAUAGCCGACCUGAGAGAGUGAUCGGCCGCACUGGAACUGAGACACGGUCCAGACUCCUACGGGAGGCAGCAGUAGGGAAUCUUCCGCAAUGGGCGAAAGCCUGACGGAGCAACGCCGCGUGAGUGAUGAAGGUCUUCGGAUCGUAAAACUCUGUUAUUAGGGAAGAACAUAUGUGUAAGUAACUGUGCACAUCUUGACGGUACCUAAUCAGAAAGCAACGGCUAACUACGUG